rnacentral:rRNA from 1 species
UAUAGAGGUCUCAAGCGUUGUUCGGAUUCAUUGGGCGUAAAGGGUGCGUAGGCGGCGCGGUAAGUCGGAUGUGAAAUCUCGGAGCUUAACUCCGAAACUGCAUUCGAUACUGCCGUGCUUGAGGACUGGAGAGGAGACUGGAAUUCCUGGUGUAGCGGUGAAAUGCGCAGAUAUCAGGAGGAACACCGGUGGCGAAGGCGGGUCUCUGGGCCGAUACUGACGCUGAGGAGCGAAAGCGUGGGGAGCGAACAGG